AUUGAACGCUAGCGGCAUGCCUUACACAUGCAAGUCGAACGGAGUGGCGAACGGGUGAGUAAUGUAUCGGAACGUGCCCAGUCGCGGGGGAUAACUUCGCGAAAGCGUAGCUAAUACCGCAUACUAUUGGAUGGGCCUCUAUCGGAUUGGCUAGUUGGUGGGGUAACGGCUCACCAAGGCGACGAUCCGUAGCUGGUGUGAGAGGCCGACCAGCCACACUGGGACUGGGACACGGCCCAGACUCCUACGGGAGGCAGGAGUGGGGAAUUUUGGACAAUGGGGGAAGCCCGGAUGCAGCCUGCCCGCGUGUGGGAUGAGGGCCUUCGGGUUGUAAAGCACUUUUGUCAGGAAAGCGGUACCUGCAGAAUAAGCACCGGCUAACUACGUGCCAGCAGCCGCGGUAAUAC
rnacentral:rRNA from 1 species